GACGAACGCUGGCGGCGUGCCUAACACAUGCAAGUCGAACGAGGUCCAAGGAAGCUUGCUUCCUGACGACCUAGUGGCGAACGGGUGAGUAACACGUGAGAAACCUGCCUCGGAGUGGGGAAUAACUCGGGGAAACUCGAGCUAAUACCGCAUAUCUUCACAUGAUCGCAUGGUCGAGUGAAGAAAGAAUUUCGCUCUGAGAGGGUCUCGCGGCCUAUCAGCUUGUUGGCGGGGUAACGGCCCACCAAGGCAACGACGGGUAGCUGGUUUGAGAGAACGAUCAGCCACACUGGGACUGAGACACGGCCCAGACUCCUACGGGAGGCAGCAGUGGGGAAUCUUGCGCAAUGGGCGAAAGCCUGACGCAGCAACGCCGCGUGCGGGAUGACGGCCUUCGUGGUUGUAAACCGCUUUCAGCAGGGACGAAAAUGACGGUACCUGCAGAAGAAGCCCCGGCUAACUACGUGCCAGCAGCCGCGGUAAUACGUAGGGGGCAAGCGUUGUCCGGAAUCAUUGGGCGUAAAGAGCUCGUAGGCGGUUCAGUAAGUCGGGUGUGAAAGCUCCGAGCUCAACUCGGAGAGGCCACUCGAUACUGCUGUGACUAGAAUCCAGUAGGGGAGUGUGGAAUUCCUGGUGUAGCGGUGAAAUGCGCAGAUAUCAGGAGGAACACCAGCGGCGAAGGCGGCACUCUGGGCUGGUAUUGACGCUGAGGAGCGAAAGUGUGGGUAGCAAACAGGAUUAGAUACCCUGGUAGUCCACACCGUAAACGUUGGGCACUAGGUGUGGGGAGGAUCAAC
rnacentral:rRNA from 1 species